rnacentral:lncRNA from 1 species
GAAACUAGAAAAAGAAGAGGAGGAGGAACAGGAGUACUGUGGAACUGGCAGCAUGCUUGUCUGUCCUUCCCUGAUGCAGAAGAAUGGAGGAAAUGCGGCAGGAUAAUGAAUGGAUUUAUUCAUCUCACUAUGAUACAAGGGGAGCACAAGUCAAUGAAAGAAGGUAACAGCAAGAGCAAUUUUGAAAAACAGACUGUAAAUUAAAUUGAAAAAUAAAAGAAUUUAUUUGAGUUUAUUAAUUUCUGAG